CAACAAAGGACGCAGAUAACGUGUAAACGAGGACAGUCAGGCUAGUCAGAGAACUGGGAACGAGUGAGGG